CCUACGGGUGGCAGCAGUGAGGAAUAUUGGUCAAUGGGCGCGAGCCUGAACCAGCCAAGUCGCGUGAGGGAAGACGGUCCUAUGGAUCGUAAACCUCUUUUGUCGGGGAACAAAAGACGCCACGCGUGGCGUUCAGAGAGUACCCGAAGAAAAAGCAUCGGCUAACUCCGUGCCAGCAGCCGCGGUAAUACGGAGGAUGCGAGCGUUAUCCGGAUUUAUUGGGUUUAAAGGGUGCGCAGGCGGAAUGUCAAGUCAGCGGUAAAAGUGAGAGGCUCAACCUCUUCGAGCCGUUGAAACUGGGAUUCUUGAGUGAGCGAGAAGUAUGCGGAAUGCGUGGUGUAGCGGUGAAAUGCAUAGAUAUCGCGCAGAACUCCGAUUGCGAAGGCAGCAUACCGGCGCUCAACUGACGCUCAUGCACGAAAGUGUGGGUAUCGAACAGGAUUAGAUACCCGGGUAGUC
rnacentral:rRNA from 1 species